rnacentral:rRNA from 1 species
UACGUAGGGUGCUAGCGUUGUUCGGAAUCAUUGGGCGUAAAGGGCUCGUAGGUGGCCAACUAAGUCAGACGUGAAAUCCCUCGGCUUAACCGGGGAACUGCGUCUGAUACUGGAUGGCUUGAGUUUGGGAGAGGGACGCGGAAUUCCAGGUGUAGCGGUGAAAUGCGUAGAUAUCUGGAGGAACACCGGUGGCGAAGGCGGCGUCCUGGACCAACACUGACACUGAGGAGCGAAAGCAUGGGGAGCGAACAGG